CCUACGGGAGGCUGCAGUAGGGAAUAUUGCUCAAUGGGGGAAACCCUGAAGCAGCAACGCCGCGUGGAGGAUGAAGGUUUUAGGAUUGUUAAAUCCUUUUGUUAGGGGAGAUUAUGACGGUAUCUAACGAAUAAGCACCGGAUAACUCCGUGCCAGCAGCCGCGGUAAUACGGAGGGUGCAAGCGUUACUCGGAAUCACUGGGCGUAAAGAGUGCGUAGGCGGGGUAAUAAGUGGGAUGUGAAAUCCUGUGGCUUAACCACAGAACUGCAUUUGAAACUGUUACUCUGGAGUGUGGGAGAGGUAGGUGGAAUUCUUGGUGUAGGGGUAAAAUCCGUAGAGAUCAAGAGGAAUACUCAUUGCGAAGGCGACCUGCUGGAACAUUACUGACGCUGAUGCACGAAAGCGUGGGGAGCAAACAGGAUUAGAUACCCGAGUAGUC
rnacentral:rRNA from 1 species